rnacentral:rRNA from 1 species
CCUACGGGGGGCAGCAGUGGGGAAUAUUGCACAAUGGGCGCAAGCCUGAUGCAGCCAUGCCGCGUGUGUGAAGAAGGCCUUCGGGUUGUAAAGCACUUUCAGCGGGGAGGAAGGCGUUAAGGUUAAUAACCUUGGCGAUUGACGUUACCCGCAGAAGAAGCACCGGCUAACUCCGUGCCAGCAGCCGCGGUAAUACGGAGGGUGCAAGCGUUAAUCGGAAUUACUGGGCGUAAAGCGCACGCAGGCGGUCUGUCAAGUCGGAUGUGAAAUCCCCGGGCUCAACCUGGGAACUGCAUUCGAAACUGGCAGGCUAGAGUCUUGUAGAGGGGGGUAGAAUUCCAGGUGUAGCGGGGAAAUGCGUAGAGAUCUGGAGGAAUACCGGUGGCGAAGGCGGCCCCCUGGACAAAGACUGACGCUCAGGUGCGAAAGCGUGGGGAGCAAACAGGAUUAGAUACCGAGUAGUC